GGCUGGUCCGAAGGCAGUGAGUUAUCUCAAUUGAUUGUUCACAGUCAGUUACAGAUCAAACUCCUUGUUCUACUCUUUCCCCUCUUCUCACUACUGCACUUGACUAGUCUUUA
rnacentral:Y_RNA from 1 species